rnacentral:rRNA from 1 species
UUGGCGGACGGGUGAGAAACACGUGGGUAACCUGCCUCAAAGUGGGGGAUAGCCUUCCGAAAGGAAGAUUAAUACCGCAUAAGCCUACAGUGCCGCAUGGUACAGCAGGAAAAGGAGUAAUCCGCUUUGAGAUGGACCCGCGGCGCAUUAGCUAGUUGGUGAGGUAACGGCUCACCAAGGCGACGAUGCGUAGCCGACCUGAGAGGGUGAUCGGCCACAUUGGAACUGAGACACGGUCCAGACUCCUACGGGAGGCAGCAGUGGGGAAUAUUGCACAAUGGGCGAAAGCCUGAUGCAGCAACGCCGCGUGAGUGAUGAAGGCCUUCGGGUCGUAAAGCUCUUUGAUCAGGGAUGAUAAUGACAGUACCUGAAAAACAAGCCACGGCUAACUACGUGCCAGCAGCCGCGGUAAU